rnacentral:rRNA from 1 species
UACGUAGGGUCCGAGCGUUGUCCGGAAUUACUGGGCGUAAAGCGCACGUAGGCGGAUUUGUAAGUCAGGGGUGAAAUCCCGGGGCUCAACCUCGGAACUGCCUUUGAUACUGCAAAUCUCGAGUCCGGAAGAGGUGAGUGGAAUUCCUAGUGUAGAGGUGAAAUUCGUAGAUAUUAGGAAGAACACCAGUGGCGAAGGCGGCUCACUGGUCCGGUACUGACGCUGAGGUGCGAAAGCGUGGGGAGCAAACAGG